ensembl:lncRNA
AGGUUUCAUGGAGGGUAUACAGUAGGUCUACAGUAGGUAUGAUGGAGGUUCUACAGUAGGUAUGAUGGAGGGUCUACAGUAGGUAUGAUGGAGGGUAUACAGUAGGUGUGAUGGAGGGACUACAGUAGGUAUAAUGGAGGGUAUACAGUAGGUAUGAUGGAGGCUAUACAGUAGUUAUGAUGGAGGGUAUACAGUAGGGAUGAUGGAGGGUAUACAGUAGGUAUAAUGGAGGGUAUACAGUAGGUAUAAUGGAGGGUAUACAGAAGGUAUGAUGGAGGGUAUACAGUAGGUAUGAUGGAGGGUAUACAUCAGGUAUGAUGGAGGGUAUACAGUAGGUAUGAUGGAGGGUAUACAGUAGGUAUGAUGGAGGGUAUACAGUAGGUAUGAUGGAGUGUAUACUGUAGGUAUGAUGGAGGGUACAUAAGGUAUGAUGGAGUGUAUACAGUAGGUAUGAUGGAGGGUAUACAGUAGGUUUGAUGGAGGGCAUACAGUAGGUAUGAUGGAGGGUAUACAUCAGGUAUGAUGGAGGGUAUACAGUAGGUAUGAUGGAGGGUAUACAGUAGGUAUGAUGGAGGUUAUACAGUAGGUAUGAUGGAGGGUAUACAGUAGGUAUGAUGGAGGGUAAACAGUAGGUAUGAUGGAGGGUAUACAGUAGGUAUGAUGGAGGGUAUGCAGUAGGAAUAAUUGAGGGUUUACAUCAGGUAUGAUGGAGGGUCUACAGUAGGUAGACGGAGGGUAUACAGUAGGUAUGAUGGAGGCUAUACAGUAGGUAUGAUGGAGGGUAUACAGUAGGUAUGAUGGAGGGUAU